UGGGGAAUAUUGCACAAUGGGCGCAAGCCUGAUGCAGCCAUGCCGCGUGUAUGAAGAAGGCCUUCGGGUUGUAAAGUACUUUCAGCGGGGAGGAAGGGAGUAAAGUUAAUACCUUUGCUCAUUGACAUUACCCGCAGAAGAAGCACCGGCUAACUCCGUGCCAGCAGCCGCGGUAAUACGGAGGGUGCAAGCGUUAAUCGGAAUUACUGGGCGUAAAGCGCACGCAGGCGGUUUGUUAAGUCAGAUGUGAAAUCCCCGGGCUCAACCUGGGAACUGCAUCUGAUACUGGCAAGCUUGAGUCUCGUAGAGGGGGGUAGAAUUCCAGGUGUAGCGGUGAAAUGCGUAGAGAUCUGGAGGAAUACCGGUGGCGAAGGCGGCCCCCUGGACGAAGACUGACGCUCAGGUGCGAAAGCGUGGGGAGCAAACAGG
rnacentral:rRNA from 2 species